rnacentral:sRNA from 1 species
CACUCCCUGGAGUGCUUGCCAGUCGGUCAUGUUCCUGAGCCGAUACGCACAACCACGGGGGUUGCACGUGGGGUUGGUGUGCAUGUCCGCUCGACGGAAAGCCUUAAAAC